rnacentral:rRNA from 1 species
AUUGAACGCUGGCGGAAUGCUUUACACAUGCAAGUCGAACGGUAGAGGGGGCAACCCCUUGAGAGUGGCGAACGGGUGAGUAAUAUAUCGGAACGUGCCCAGUCGUGGGGAUAACGUAGCGAAAGUUACGCUAAUACCGCAUACGAUCUAAGGAUGAAAGCGGGGGAUCGCAAGACCUCGCGCGAUUGGAGCGGCCGAUAUCAGAUUAGGUAGUUGGUGAGGUAAAGGCUCACCAAGCCAACGAUCUGUAGCUGGUCUGAGAGGACGACCAGCCACACUGGAACUGAGACACGGUCCAGACUCCUACGGGAGGCAGCAGUGGGGAAUAUUGGACAAUGGGCGAAAGCCUGAUCCAGCCAUGCCGCGUGUGUGAGAAGGUCUUCGGAUUGUAAAGCACUUUAAGUUGGGUAGGAAGGGU